rnacentral:tRNA from 1 species
GGGGCUGUGGCUCAGUGGUAGAGUGCUCGCCUAGCAUGUGUGAGGCACUGGGUUCAAUUCUCAGCACCCCA